rnacentral:rRNA from 1 species
UACGUAGGGUCCGAGCGUUGUCCGGAAUUACUGGGCGUAAAGAGCUCGUAGGUGGUUUGUCGCGUUGUUCGUGAAAACUCACAGCUCAACUGUGGGCGUGCGGGCGAUACGGGCAGACUAGAGUACUGCAGGGGAGACUGGAAUUCCUGGUGUAGCGGUGAAAUGCGCAGAUAUCAGGAGGAACACCGGUGGCGAAGGCGGGUCUCUGGGCAGUAACUGACGCUGAGGCGCGAAAGCGUGGGGAGCAAACAGG